UGAACAAAAAAACUCAAAAUGUAAAUUUAGCACUUUUAGGAUUGAAAUGGAAAAAAGAAGAAAAAAAUAAAGUAUCUUUGGUGUUAACUAAUGGAAUAUACAGUUAAUUAAUGGAAUAUAUUGUUGACGUAAUGGACAUGGCUAACAGUAAGCAAUUUUAGAAAGUAUCAAGAUCUGAUUACUCAAAAGGGAAAAAAAAAAAACUAAAGGACUUGAUUAUAAACAACAGUGUUUAGUUUUAGGACUUCAUAUGUUGUUAUCACUAUUUAAAUCUUUACUUUUUAUUAUUGUUAGUUUUCUUAUGAUAGAUUGUUUCCUUUGCUUUGCUUAAAAAUAUCUGGCUUUAUCUGGCUUUGUUUUCCAGAUGCAGGAAAACUGAAAUUGUACAUCAUAGUUUUACUAUUGUCUUCUUAUAAGAGGGUUGUAUUGAUAAGGUUACUGGCAGUAGGAAACUCGAAUAACCUAAUCCAAUGAAAUUAAAUUAGAUUAAGUUCUCAUCAUUUCCUCUCAUUUCUCUUCACUUUCUUCAAAACAAACUGUUAAUUUCUUUUUCCUUGUAUUUUUUUUAUUGUGGCAUUUCUUUUCUUUUCUCUUGUUUAUGCUCUUACCGCUUGUUCUUCAAAAUCUAUAUUCCAGUAGCUUAGCUAACUGUUUUCAUAUUAUUUUAGGACUUGCCUCAAUUUAGAUAAAUAUUACAAAAUUUCAACAAACUGAAUCAAUAUGAUACCUGUGCAUGGAAAGCUGAGCAAUG
rnacentral:misc_RNA from 1 species